UACAGAGGUCUCAAGCGUUGUUCGGAUUCAUUGGGCGUAAAGGGUGUGUAGGUGGCGCGCUAAGUCGGGGUGUGAAAUUUCGGAGCUUAACUCCGAAACUGCAUUCGAUACUGCCGUGCUUGAGGACUGGAGAGGAGACUGGAAUUUACGGUGUAGCGGUGAAAUGCGUAGAUAUCGUAAGGGAAGACCAGUGGCGAAGGCGGGUCUCUGGACAGUUCCUGACGCUGAGGCACGAAGGUCAGGGGAGCAAAACGGGG
rnacentral:rRNA from 1 species